ACCCAAGUUACAAUUCCUCCGCCAUUGCAAGCAUUUGAAGGGAAAUAUACGAAAGCGAAAGGGCAGAAGAGAAAUGAAGAAGAAGAAGAAGAAAGAAAGAAAGAAGGUUUCCAGCACAUUUGAACAGAACUUGCACAGUUCGCAAGUUCCUCUGUUUCAGAAACCAAAUCACGUGGAGCUCCAUUGAAGAAGACCUUGUUUCAUUCAUUAGUGAUGGUGAUUAGACAUGGGUUUUAAAGACCAUAAUUUGAGAAACACCCAGAUCGAGCCAUGAAAGAAACUAUUCAAGAUCACGAGCUGGGAAAGGGAUGGCAUUGCAAGCACGUAGCUACAGCGCAGUCGCUCUAGGGAGGAUCAAUCAAUUCAAUGCUCGUUUCUCAACGAAUUAUCUGUUUGUUUAUCGAACAAGUAACGAUUUGAAUUCAAACAUCCUAGCAUAAGUAAGCAACAUGCUCAUCUUUGUGAAUAGUUCAAACAGCCCCAUCCAUUUCCAUAAGCCUUAUUAUAAUUGAGUUCAACCAUAUUGGUAGCCCUUGAAUGUUUAGCUUUAAAUCUCACUUUCCAUCAAAACUAAAAUAAUCUCACUUUGAAUUUUUUAAAGAGAUGAUGAGCUUUAUUGAUACCCAAAUUUGGUAUAUGGUAUUAAGAGUAAUUUACCAAAAACAAGAAGUAACUAGCUUUGGUAGUGUUAAGUGUUAUCUAUAGUCGUGUGUCGGAUGUCCCAAUCAUGUUUGUCCAAGACGUGUUGUUCAUGUCCGCAUGCCCAUUCCAAACCCAUUCUACCUACUUUUAUGUGUAGUUAGGUCAUUAUUAUUUUUGUCAUGUCUAUAUAUAGGAGUGUAAGAUCGUUCACCGAAAUCAUGUCUACACCUGUUAGGCUAAAAUGCUCCAAAUUGUACUAUAAAUAUGAUGUGACUAGUUGUCAAUUUUUCUUACUUGGGUAAUAUGCUAUCAAAGCUAUCAAAGCUAUGGUUGUUGCUCAUUCGUUUUUAGCCUAUAACAUUGCUUUCUUUCAAAUUGUUUUCAACACAUUUCCUCGUUCACAUUUUAUAAAAUAUUUUCUAUCAAAUGUGACUCGAGACUUGAUUAUACGUCAAGAUUGACCGCAAAGAUAGAUUUUCACACAGUUGACUUAUUCUUCUAGUUAAAACAAGUAUCACACAAUCACUACCGCAAGAGUGAUAUAGUGACACUAAGCUACCUACAUUUUCACGCUAAAGUUAGAACUAGGAAUCGAGCUUAAGAAGUGUAAAGUAUGUGUUGGCAGAAUACCUUGGAAUAUCAUCACAAUUUGUAUUUUCUACUCUGUUUUGACACUCAUUGAGAAUUUCACUGGGUUCUUGGAUCUUUAUAAUCAUUCCCCUUUGAUCAGCUCAAUGAGUCCUUGAAUGCCAACACUUGAUUUUCUUUUCUCAUCCUAAAGGUUGGUUUUGUUUCAAGUUUUGUCAAGUGCCUGCUGAUUUGCUGAUUAACUCUAUGAGGUAUUAGUUGAAUUAGACCUGCCCAAUUAAGCCAAAUUAGUCUAAGUCGACCCCUCAAAGAGUCAUUCAAGCCAACUUAGUUCAACUCGUUAAAGGUCACCCUUCCAACCUAGGCUUAAAGGAUCAACCUUCUAAGCUUUUCGGCUGAACCUUGAAGGUGGCCCACUUCGUGAGGAAUAUGUCAAAUGGGUUCGACUUGGUUUGUUAGGUUGACAUUUCUAGAAUUCAACUAGUUUGCGCUCCACAUAACUUACGAUAAUCCUACUCUUCUUAAGCUAUAUUUAUUCAAACUUAGCCCAUUUAACGUAAAAAAA